rnacentral:rRNA from 1 species
UACGUAGGGUGCAAGCGUUAAUCGGAAUUAUUGGGCGUAAAGGGUGCGCAGGCGGAUGUAUAAGUCAGAUGUGAAAUCCCCGGGCUUAACCUGGGAAUUGCGUUUGAAACUAUAUGACUAGAGUGUGAUAGAGGGGAGUGGAAUUCCAUGUGUAGCAGUGAAAUGCGUAGAGAUGUGGAAGAACACCGAUGGCGAAGGCAGCUCCCUGGAUUAACACUGACGCUCAUGCACGAAAGCGUGGGGAGCGAACAGG